UUUUUUCUUUUUUUUUUUUUUUUUUUUGAGAGAAAGAAAAUCUUAAGUAGCCUCCACACUCAGCACAGAGCUUGAUGUGGGGCUUGAUCUCACAACCCUGAGAUCAUGACCUAAGUCAAAAUCAAGAGUCAGACGCUUAACUAAGCCACACAGGUACCUUGACUAAAUGACUUUUUAAAGCAAAUAAAGUUUGAAUUGGGGGGAAAAACCUAUUGCCACCUUGUUAUUUUUCUAAAUGUAACCAAUCCAUUACUCUCUAUUACAAGGAAAUUUGAUAUACAGAUGGUCCCCAAUUUAGGAGGAUUCAACUUAUAAUUUUUUGACUUUACCAUGAUGUGAAGGUGAUACAUCCAGUAGAAACUGCACUUGGAAAUUUUAUCUUUUCCAUGGCUAGAGAUAUGCAUGCUGUAUGAUCCCCUCUUGUGAUGCUGGGCAGGGGCAGUGAGCUGCAGCUCUGUUUAGCCACGUGAUCAAGAGGGAAAACAACCCCUACAUUUACAAUCAUUCUCUACCCGCACAACCAUUCGGUUUCUCACUCUCAAUACAGUAUUCAAUAAACUGCAUGAGAUAUGCAACACUUUAUUAUAAUAUAGAUUUUGUUAGAUGAUUUUGUCCAACUAUAGGCUGGACAAAUAUAAGCAUUCUAAGCAUGUUUAAGGUAGGUUAGGCCACAUAAGCUAUGAUGUUUGGUAGGUUAAGGGUAUUAAAUGCAUUUUUGAUUUACAAUAAUUUCAACUUACAAUAGGUUUAUUGGGAUGUAACCCCACCACACAGGAAGAUCCGUUCUCCCUACGUUUGCUGAGGAAACUGAUCCUGAGUGAUAUUUUUCUGAAAAAUAAUAAAAGGUAGGGCAAUCAGAUUUUUCAAAUCAACAUGUUUAUUGUGUCUCCUACUUCAGUGAAGGUCAUCAAGAGUUUACACUAAAUGCAAAGUUAACUUUUGGCUUUGUUUACUGCCUUAUAUUCCAAGAAAAGCAAAGCGGCAACCUGUUGUGUAUUUAGGUCAAGCCUAGGGACAAGCAUAGAUCUAAAAAGUGAAUUUCUUGGAGUAAAAUAAUAAAGGGAUGACAAUGGAAUUCUAGAUUCUUGUUGGGGAGAUGAAGGCUGAAUUGUAGAAUUCACUGCAGCACAGAUUCUUAAAGAAUUUUGCCACAAAAAAAAAAAAAAGAAAAACUAGAUAACGUUGAGCAACUCUGUGUAAAAUAAUUACAAUGGUGUCUGGCAUAGAAGAUUUGCUAUGUAAAUGUUAACUGCAUUUUUUUUAAAGAUUUUAUUUAUUCAUUCAUGAAAGACACACACAGAGAGAGAGGCAGAGACACAGGCAGAGGGAGAAGCAGGCUCCAUGCAGGGAGCCCGACGUGGGACUUGAUCCCAGGUCUCCAGGAUCACGCUCUGAGCCAAAGGCAGAUGCUCAACCCCUGAGCCACCCAGGCGUCCCUGCUAACUGCUAUUUAUCAUCAUUAUUAUAAUGAGACUCACAACUUUAAAAUAAUCAACAAGUUUUUAUUAGACAUGCUGUACCUUUAUAUAAAGCAAUCUGUAGGAUACCAAGAGAAGAAACAGUCCCUGUUUUAAGAAUUUUGUAGUGAUAUAUCUUGAAGGAGAAUAUCAAGUUAAAUUGUUAAAGAAAAAAAUAUUUAGCUUCUUUGAGGCAGCAUCUUUUGCUAUUUUAGUUGGAGUCCUACAUCAAAGGCUGAGAAAAGUUCAUAGCUCAUUCUUUCCCAAACAAGUUAAAAACAGAGAUCACUAAAAUUUAAAAUAAAUACAGUAAUUUAUUACUUUUCAACAAUUUUGGUGUCAUAAAAUCUAUCUGAACCAAACUCCACAUAGAUCUUGAAUACAAAAAUCAAAAUUCUCAGGGAAGUGAGGCACUUGAGUGGGAGAAUCUUUUUUUUUCCCCCCCGAUAAGGGUAGAAUGCCCAAAGGAAAAGGCCAGGAGGAAGACUGCCUACAGACCUGAUUACAUGGAACUGUCCUUACCCUUCAUGUAUCUAUAUUUCCAUUUUUGAGCACCUUUAAUUUUGGAUACCUUCCAGUCUAUGAAAAGAGGAAGAAAAAUACAAGAAAAGAAAGGAAGAGGAAAAAAAAGGAACUGUACUACAGCUGUACUGGAUAAUCCAAAGGUGGGAAAUGUUCUUCAGUGAGUUAAAAUUAUUUUGCCAUCUCUCUGAAAAGAAGUAGGCAAAAAUCUUUUUGAAAAGAAAGCCUUAAUUUCUAGUAGAGAUUGCCCUGGAAAGGUUAACUUUCUCAACUGACAGGCAGGCACACCAAACACUCACAUAAUUUCAACUCCCCUCCAAUAGACAAUAGAAAAUCUAUCUUUGAAGCAUUAGCCCUUUCUUAUCUACCUUAAAAUAUACUCUGUCCCUCGCUCCCCCCAGCUUUCUCUCCUUGGGUGAAAAUUAAGGAGAAAUAUAGUGUGCUUUGUUAACCUGAGGAAAAGUUUUCUACAUGGAGAAUGUAUAAAUUAGAUCACAUGUUUAGAUGGCUAUCUGAUACCAUUAAGAUAAUUUCUGAAUUCUGCAGCUUCUGCAUUCUUUUUUUUUAAGAUUUUUUUUUUAAGAUUUUAUUUAUUUAUUCAUAGAGACACAGAGAGAGAAAGAGAGGCAGAGACACAGGCAGAGGGAGAAGCAGGCUGCAUGACGGGAGCCGGACGUGGGACUCGAUCCCAGGUCUCCAGGAUCACACCCCAGGCUGCAGGUGGCACUAAACCACUGCGCCACUGGGGCUGCCCAGCUUUUGCAUUCUUAAUAAUGGUCAACACAUCAGGACUUUAGAAUACCUGAAUUUUAAAAUACAAAGACUGUACACGUUUGCCUGAGGUCCUUAAUACUUCUGGGGAUCCACUAAGAGCCAUUCCCAUGGAUUGGUAAGACUUAUGAAUAUGUUUCAAAAAAAUUAAGAGAUCUAGGUUUUCCAAAGAAGAUAGAGCAAGACAUGGAGUUUAAUUCUCAAGCCAAUGCUUUCCCUAAAAUAAUCAUGUACUCCCAUAAAGGAAAUAGGAAAUGAAACAUUACAUUUAAUUUAGAUUUGGAGGUGGCCUUCCUUAGCAAUUUAUUCAAGUAUAAACAAUAAUUAUGUAGAAAGGACCUGGUUACAAUUACAAAACCUUAUUAAUUCACAUUAAUCAGUGGGGAACCUAAAUUGCAUUACGAAGAGGUUUGAAUUAUAUAAUAGAAUUACUAAAACUGCUCCCUUGUUAGUCUACCUGCCUCUCUUUUCAUCUCCAGGUUGUCCUGUACACAGUUUACUAGGUAGAAGGAAGAAGGGUUUUCUAUGAAGAAACAGCAUAUACAAAGGCUAAAUGAUCAGGUUUGGGACUUUUUUUUUUUUAACAAUCCUGCAUUUUCUGCCUAUUAUCCUCCUCAUCAUUGUCCUUCUCUAUGGCCUCAGGAUUUUGAAAAUAAAAUGAAAAUAGCCUAGCCUUUAGCACAGGCUGAGUUAAGUAGACUUAGGUUUAAAAAUCUUUAUUUAACUUUAAAGAACUUCUAAGCUAAAAAUUGCUUAGUGACGUAGCUCUAAGUUUGGGGAAAUGGGAUGGGAUUUCUCUUGGUUCUUGGAAGAAAACUUUUGUUUAGGAGCAUGGUUGCAGUGAUAAAGAGCUCUCCCCAAUAACUCUUGGAGUCCAUCUCUCCCUGUCAUUCCAUUGGAUUCUGUUAGUGGGUUUGGUUGUCAACAUAGCUUGAAUCGCGCAGUCCCAUGUUAUGGUUGAAGCACAUCUUGGCUGUUUCACCCAUAAUGUGGUCUCAUACCUGAAUUGAUCAAAGGAAUGACUAGUGAACCACCAGGGUUAUACAAGAUGGAGUUAAAAGGCUUCCAGAUUAACACAUCUUUUCAUUGGAAACAGAAGCAAAAACUCUUUUCUAGCCUGACUGGGUCUGAUGAAAGAGGACAUGAAAGCACUGUAUGUAGUGCUCUACUUAGAUAACUAUCCUAAUGAGUGCUACCUGUUUGCAAUUUGUCUUUGUGCCUCUCGUUAACUUCCUGUGACAUUUACCUUUUCCAGAUUCUGGUUCCCACUGAUGUGGCUUUGGCAAGUAUACGUAAGACAAAAUAAUGAGGUGUGUGUGCAUGGUGGGAAUGAAGGAGUGAUGAAAACAAUGGCUGCCUCAGAAUGGUGUAUUCUGGGACACUAGGGUGGCUCAGCGGUUGAGUGUCUGC
rnacentral:lncRNA from 1 species